ACUUACGGAGUCUUUCAUCUUGGCUGUGUGGGCUGUGGCCUCUGCGGUGCCCAUUCUCAGGAGAUGUGAGACCCAUGAGGACCGGAGGUGGGCAAGGCUAGAGACCACACCCCCCUGCUCCAUCCAAUCAUGUUUUCCUGGGCGCUUGGUUUCUAUGCAGGCUGCAUGUCCUUAGUGCCUGCAUGGGAACAGCUCCUGUGGUGAGCAGGCCCCUGAGGAAGGCCUUGAGCGGGAAUGGAGCCUAGGCUCAGGCUGCCUGGUAAGAGCUGGAGGGAACCAGCCGAGGCUUGUGCUGCUUUUUUUUCCAGAAUGAAAUACGUGACUGAUGUUGGUGUCCUGCAGCGCCACGUUUCCCGCCACAACCACCGGAAUGAGGAUGAGGAGAACACCCUCUCCGUGGACUGCACACGGAUCUCCUUUGAGUAUGACCUCCGCCUGGCGCUCUACCAGCACUGGUCCCUCCAUGACAGCCUGUGCAACACCAGCUAUACUGCAGCCAGGUUCAAGCUGUGGUCUGUGCACGGACAGAAGCGGCUCCAGGAGUUCCUUGCAGACAUGGGUCUUCCCCUGAAGCAGGUGAAGCAGAAGUUCCAGGCCAUGGACAUCUCCUUGAAGGAGAAUUUGCGGGAAAUGAUUGAAGAGUCUGCAAAUAAAUUUGGGAUGAAGGACAUGCGCGUGCAGACUUUCAGCAUUCAUUUUGGGUUCAAGCACAAGUUCCUGGCCAGCGACGUGGUCUUUGCCACCAUGUCUUUGAUGGAGAGCCCUGAGAAGGAUGGCUCAGGGACAGAUCACUUCAUCCAGGCUCUGGACAGCCUCUCCAGGAGUAACCUGGACAAGCUGUACCAUGGCCUGGAACU
rnacentral:sRNA from 1 species